AACCUGCGGAAGGAUCAUUAUCGAAUUGUAAUGGGGGUUGAUGCUGGUAGUCAUCUUGUGGGCUACAUGUGCUCGCUUCCGACAAUCUCUAUCCAACACUUUGUGCACCAAUGUGAGGGUUUUCUGAGACCAUUACUGCGCUGUGGUGAUCUUCUUAGRAUUCUCUUCUCAUCUCAUAUACACUACAUUAUAAUGCCGAACGUGAUUGUGCCGCAAGGCCUUAAUAAAAAUACAACUUUUAACAACGGAUCUCUUGGCUCUCGCAUCGAUGAAGAACGCAGCGAAAUGCGAUAAGUAAUGUGAAUUGCAGAAUUCAGUGAAUCAUCGAAUCUUUGAACGCACCUUGCGCUCCCUGGUAUUCCGAGGAGCACGCCUGUUCGAGCGUUGUGAAAUUCUCAGGCUGGGUCUCUUUUUUUUCAAGAGUAGACCUUAGCUUGGUAUUGGGCUUUGCUGUGUCUGUUUAUUCGGGAUAGCUGGCCUUAAAGACAUUAGCUGACCUCCGAUGUGGAAUUGGUUCUACUCAGCGUGAUAAUAACCUGACCGCUGAGGACAUCUCCUGUGGGAUGGCCAGCUCCCAUUAGGGUUGCUUCUAAUCAAUCGUAAUUGUGGGUCUCCUUUGGAGUGGAUCCACUUUUGCCUCUUUCAUUUUGACCUCGAAUCAGGUGGGACUACCCGCUGAACUUAAGCAUAUCAAUAAGCGGAGGAAAAGAAACUAACAAGGAUUCCCCUAGUAACGGCGAGUGAAGCGGGAAGAGCUCAAAUUUAAAAUCUGA
rnacentral:rRNA from 1 species